GCCAGACAGACAGAAGCCCAGAUGAGUCAGGUAGUUCUAUCAGUAUUAACAAGGGCAUAGCAGAGCCAUGGGUGUCUCUGGGGCCUGGGUUUUCUUCAUGAUGAGAAUGAGAGCACGCAGGCCUCAGGUAGUGGAGAAAAGGCCAGCUGCUGCUGUCACCUGAUAAAGCUGAAGACUUGAGACUUAUCUCAACACACAUACACACUGCUCAGGGGCUGGGGACAGUCCUUUUUUAAAUAGCAAGUCAGAGUAGAAGAUGGGUGUUCAUUGCCCUUACUGCCAUGUACCGUAAACUUACGCCUCUCCUGGGAUUUUUGGCAGGAACGGAUGAAGUUUCCAGAGAUUGCUCUGGCUAAGGACAGUGAACAUCAUGCUAAUCUAAAGGGAGAUGUCACAGAUCCAAACAGGGAUGUUUGCUGGCUUCUGGUUGUAUUGUGACCGAUUCCUUCUCCAUGCUCUGGCUGCCAGCAUUCCUGAGUGACUUUCCCCGGACUCUGAGACAACAGUGUGUUCCCAGAUGCCUUGGAAGGCUGCUUGGUUACUUGCAGAUGGACCCAGCGAGCCCUGCCCUGAGCUUCCAUGCUCUGCCCAUUCCUUAGCAGGGGAGGACUAAACCAGUUCUUCCUCCGCUCUGCUCUGUCCCCUCUGGACUCAGCUUCCAGGUCUACUGUUAGCAGACUGGCUCCUGAUGCUUCCUGAAGCCUCACUUUGCCAGGUAGGUCUCCGAAGACCCCCUUACUGCUCUCCACUGGCCGGGUGGCCCAGCUUCUGCUCUGCUCCGGGCGCUGCUGCUCUUUCCUUGGCCCUCUCCCAGACCCCAUCCUGUUACCCUCAUCUGACUUCACACAAGCGUCUACACCUGGGUCUCAGCACUCCCCAGCUGGGCCAUCCCAUGAUCGUUUCUAGGCUGAUGGCUGCUACCUACCUGCCCAACAGUCAGGGUUGGUGUCUUCCCAGGGACAUGCGUCUCUCAUCUCAGCAAGUGGCUCCUUGUCCUUCUGAACACUCUGGCCAGAGACCAGUUCAUGCUUGGCUACAUCUCCCUCAUUGUCUUCUCCCAUUCAGCAGCAAGUCAUAAUACUCUCCUACUACCACCAUGGUCUAAGCCACCAUCCUGUGCUCCCUUCAUAGUCCAGCUGCCUAAAUGGCCCCAGCCCAUGGGCUCUCCCUCUCUCCAGCUCUUUCCUUCUCAACCUUUCUUGAACAUGCCUGUCUUAUCCUCCUCCAGGGCCUUCGCACUUGCAGGUCCUCUGCUUACGUUUUCCCAGCUCUCUCUACCUCCUUGUGGACUCUAUUCUUCUCAUCCUACACUACAUAUCUUACUUGCUUUAUCAAUUUUUUCUCCCCUUUCAUCACAGAAUAUCUGAAAUGAAGCCUUUUUCGCUUCCCUGUUUUACCGAAUUCCCUAACAUAGGUGCUUGGAGGUCAUCUAAUGAGUGUCUUUCUCAGAAUUGUCUAAAACACGCACGAGUGGUAAAGUUCUACGUGCACAUUAAAUUUCCUUUUCUCCCUCUGCUACUUUGUGGAUCGCAGAUGCCUAGGUGGCCCGGCACAGUGCAAGACGGGUGAUGCAGGUGCCAGUUAAUGCGGUGAAAGGUCGCUGGUGGCCUUAAGUGACAGCGGGACCUGUGGCCAACCGAGUCCACGCCUACUCGCAGGAGCCUAGGCGGUCCUCGAGACCCUGGGAUUCCGACCCUAAGGGAAGCGCCAAGGCCUACACCCGUAGAUGAAGGGGAGGGGGUCAGCGCCAGGGAGGAGCAGGGCCCACGCUCGGGCCAGCCCGAGGCAGCGUGACGUCCGAGUCACCACCACUGCGUCGCGCCUCGCAGUGAUACUGGAGUCCCAAGUCUAGGCCGGGCCUUGAGACCACCGGGCUGCCUUCUGCACGCCAACCCCCACCCCGCAGAGUGGUACGGCCCUCCCCGGCCCCGCGCCGAGCAGUGGUAGCGCCGCGUGCGUGACGCACCACCGGCAAUAGGUACCCACGGCGGCCGCGCCCCCCCACGCCCGGCUCCGCCCACCCGGCGGGCCCCGCUACCCUCGCGACCGCUCUAGCGCUCGGAGGAUACAGCAUGAGCAGCCGCAGCUCUCGCUCUUUCUGCUUCAUCUUCUUCAGAAUGGUCAGAAGCCCCAUGAUCCCGUAGCCCCCUCCCGGCCGCCGUUUCUUCUAGUCCCGGGACCCCGCUCCCGUCUCCUAUUGGCCAGCCUGGCGCUUGUGGCCGCCCUCGUUGUCACGUGACCACAGGAGUGCAGGGCGUCGCCCCCUAGAGGCGCUGCGGCGACUUUGAAGCCUGCUGCGUUAACCCUUGUCGGGAAGGCAGAGGGUUGGUGGGGACAAGGGAGAAGUCCCUAAGCCUUCCGACUCCGAGGCCUCGGUCGGAUGCCAGACAGAGGCUGACUUUCUCGAGCAGUAUCUCGUCUGGGUAGGGAGUAGCCGCGAAGAGAUUCUGAGCUAGGAGUCGGAAUCUGGUUCCACAAAGAGCUGACGAAUCAUCCGGGGACUGUAAUACGGUUCCCACCAGUGCAUCUUGUGACUUCCAUUCAUUUACCAGUGACGGAAAACCGUUGGUCCUGGUCCGGGACUCUGUCGGAAAUGGCUCUGUGCGUUCACUUGAGGAUGAUGACUCCCCCUAGGGGCCAUUUCUAAAUGUGCGGACAGUAUGGCCUCCUUGGGUUGUUUAGAGUUCCAAGCUCCCCGCAAUGCAGGGACCAGACCCGCACAAAGGAUUGAGUGCUAUCUAGGACCCUAUCAGGUUGAGACGCUCUAUCCCAACUGUUAGGAUAAAACUGGCAGGGCAGAGCCUGUCUCAAAAAACAACGAUAAAAAACCUGAAGCCCACCUGGUGCUUAGCCUCAUGGCUGCUGGCAUGUACUAGCUGUACAAUCAGAUUAUCUUCAGUAAAUGACUUUGACAAGAGUUCUUUAAAAAAAAUUUUUUUUUCUUUGC